rnacentral:rRNA from 1 species
AGAGUUUGAUCCUGGCUCAGGACGAACGCUGGCGGCGCGCCUAACACAUGCAAGUCGAACGAGCGAGAGAGAGCUUGCUUUCUCGAGCGAGUGGCGAACGGGUGAGUAACGCGUGAGGAACCUGCCUCAAAGAGGGGGACAACAGUUGGAAACGACUGCUAAUACCGCAUAAGCCCACGGUGCCGCAUGGCACAGAGGGAAAAGGAGCAAUCCGCUUUGAGAUGGCCUCGCGUCCGAUUAGCUAGUUGGUGAGGUAACGGCCCACCAAGGCGACGAUCGGUAGCCGGACUGAGAGGUUGAACGGCCACAUUGGGACUGAGACACGGCCCAGACUCCUACGGGAGGCAGCAGUGGGGAAUAUUGCACAAUGGGGGAAACCCUGAUGCAGCGACGCCGCGUGGAGGAAGAAGGUCUUCGGAUUGUAAACUCCUGUUGUUGGGGAAGAUAAUGACGGUACCCAACAAGGAAGUGACGGCUAACUACGUGCCAGCAGCCGCGGUAAAACGUAGGUCACAAGCGUUGUCCGGAAUUACUGGGUGUAAAGGGAGCGCAGGCGGGAAGACAAGUUGGAAGUGAAAUCUAUGGGCUCAACCCAUAAACUGCUUUCAAAACUGUUUUUCUUGAGUAGUGCAGAGGUAGGCGGAAUUCCCGGUGUAGCGGUGGAAUGCGUAGAUAUCGGGAGGAACACCAGUGGCGAAGGCGGCCUACUGGGCACCAACUGACGCUGAGGCUCGAAAGUGUGGGUAGCAAACAGGAUUAGAUACCCUGGUAGUCCACACCGUAAACGAUGAUUACUAGGUG